AUAUUGCACAAUGGGCGCAAGCCUGAUGCAGCCAUGCCGCGUGUAUGAAGAAGGCCUUCGGGUUGUAAAGUACUUUCAGCGGGGAGGAAGGCGGUGGAGUUAAGAACUUCACCGAUAGACGUUAUCCGCAGAAGAAGCACCGGCUAACUCCGUCCCAGCAGCCGCGGUAAUACGGAGGGUGCAAGCGUUAAUCGGAAUUACCGGGCGUAAAGCGCACGCAGGCGGUCUGUCAAGUCGGAUGUGAAAUCCCCGGGCUUAACCUGGGAACUGCAUUCGAAACUGGCAGGCUGGAGUCUUGUAGAGGGGGGUAGAAUUCCAGGUGUAGCGGUGAAAUGCGUAGAGAUCUGGAGGAAUACCGGUGGCGAAGGCGGCCCCCUGGACAAAGACUGACGCUCAGGUGCGAAAGCGUGGGGAGCAAAC
rnacentral:rRNA from 1 species